ACUAUCCUUGUCUCGGGGUGAGAGAGCGGCUCAAUGAGCGUAUAGCGAGAGCAGCCCUGCCAACACCAGAGCAACACUCAGCACCGACUAGCGAGAAUCACACAUCCCGUUAGACCCGGUGCAAUUUUUGGACCC